UACGUAGGGAGCAAGCGUUAUCCGGAUUUACUGGGUGUAAAGGGCGUGUAGGCGGGCCUGCAAGUCAGAAGUGAAAGCCCGGGGCUCAACCCCGGGACUGCUUUUGAAACUGCGGAGCUGGAGUGCAGGAGAGGUAAGCGGAAUUCCUGGUGUAGCGGUGAAAUGCGUAGAUAUCAGGAGGAACACCAGUGGCGAAGGCGGCUUACUGGACUGUAACUGACGUUGAGGCUCGAAAGCGUGGGGAGCAAACAGG
rnacentral:rRNA from 1 species